AACAACAGCAUCCCCAAAUGGUACAGUAGACAAAGCCCUGAGUUUAGAAAUAGGACACCCUGAGUGAUUAUGGACAAGCCACUUAAUUGCUCUCAGAUUCAGUAUCUUUUCUUAAUUUGGUGUUACCUGGAGUAGCUACUUCACAGGAUUGUUAUAAAGAUUAGAUGAGGAAAUAUAUGCAUAGGAUGCUUACAAAGUUUUCCCCCAUUAUGGGGAAAGGUAAGAUUUCUGCUGUUCUCUCCCUGGGUGAAGCCUCACUAGAAUACUAUGGUGGGCCUUGCAGGAUAAGAGACACUGACAAUCAGAAGAGUAUACAAAGACAUUUGGCCAGGACAACAAGGAAACUUGAGCCCAUGCCCUAUAAGGAUUUGUCAAAAGACCAAGAGAUGUUUAGUCUGGAGAAGAGAAGUCUUGGGCCAAGAAGAAGACCAUAACUGCUACCUUCAGACAUGUGGAGGAUUAUGUAGAAAAACAGACCAAUACAUUCUCCUCAGGCCCAGAGGAUGGAUGAUGAGCAGGAGUCACAGCAAGGGUAGCUUUUAUUUCCUGCCAGGAGAGGAAGCAGGAACUCCUGGUGAGAAGGUUGACCACUCUGCUCUCUUCAGACAGAAGGGCAACCUGAAGGGGAAUUGCAUCAUUCAACUUCUCAGAGUUGGAAGCCAGUAACACCUAAAGCAACUGCAGAGAUGCACAAGAUGUAAGAGACCUGAAGAAACCUACAGAGACUGUUGGGAUCAAAGAGGCUUUUAAGAGACUGAAGAAACUCAAAGAAAUUCUGAGAAGAUUCAGAUGGCUCCAGCUCCUUUCUAUCCUAGUCUCAUUAAUUCCACCCUCUUCUCAUUCAGGGUAGGGUAUAGAUCUCCAGCAGAGUCUCUUCCCAAUGGAUUUGAGAAUGUUAUUGCAUUUCUUUCUUGGGCCAGAACUCCUUAUGGUCCUUACAAAGAUCAAUUGGGUCAUGGCCAACUAGCAAAGUUAAACUGGCCAGCUGUAUCAAGAACCCUAUCAAUAGGGCAUAUAUAAAAUAACUGUUCAUUAUAAGCAGUGGCAGAAAUGCACAACCAUCAACAGACAUUCCUUGGCAUGAACAUGGCACAGAACACAGUGAAAUAAGCAUGAUGGUAAAUUAAUAAAUAAGUAUAUUCACCCAUCAAAUCAAUAAUUCAUGUGUAGAUAUAAACACAUGCGAUUGUACACAAGGCCCUUAUUAAAUGGGCACUUUCCAGUAUCAUGGCCUAGACAAAUAUAUGAGUCUAUCUUCAGAUUUAUUUAGUAACUUCAUAGCUCAGUCUAAAGGCCCUGGGUCUCUGGUUGCUUCUCUCUGCUGUCCCUGGUGUUGACAUAGAGUGACCAUGAGGAUCAUUAUAGACUUUUUGUCUACACCUGAGCUGGUCAUUAUUACAAGUUUUUUUUUUUUUAAUCAACA